AGAGGAAUAGAUGGGGGAGAAAAAUAUAGAAACAAACCGCUUCGCUCGAGAGGUCCAGUUGUCUCUGCGACGGCCUCCCAGCAACGGUUUGGAAGGAAUCUGCUCAGUGCGGCCUCUACACCCUUCUCCUUGCUCUAUAGUUGUCCCUCUAGGUACAGCAGGGAGGGGCAGCGGUGGGGGCUGCAGGGAUUGGAUUUUCCCUGUUUCCGCCUUCUGGAGCCUCAUCAUCUUCCUCUCCCCCUCCUUGAACCUCUACUGUAUUUCAUUCAGAGGCUUCUAUUUCAGCUUUUCUGCUGAGGGGCGGAGCCCUAAUACCUCCGCUGAGAAGGAUGGAAGUCAGCAGUGUAGUGCAGGCACGUGCACACGCAAGGCUCAACCUGUGAAGAGCUAGUCGUCUAGUACCCCUUUUGCCAUCUAGUGCCCGCUCCGGUUUACACGUGCCCGUAUGUCAUGGUGAGGCGCGUCGCGUACACCGACGGGCAUGCAUCGUCCGUCUUUUUUUUUUUACACGCGUCACUCAUUCCGUCCGUUUGAGCCGACAACUGCUUGAGCCGACAUCCCACUUUCUCAGAUUCAGCACAUGCCCCUUGGAAGGUCUGUGCACGCUACUGGUGUAGUGGCGUGGCUGGUCCUGCUGGCUGCCACUGGAAGGUUCCGGAACCUAGCCUACUACUUCUCUUUAGGGGCGUUGGUGCCAUGCUGAAAGACAGGCAGGGCACCUGGAGACCUUGGUGUUAAUCGGGCGUUGCUGCAUAAAUAAAGGUAUUGAAGCCAAAGAACAAUCUACAGUGUGGACGAUAAAGUAUAAUUUUUGUUCAUAAUGCACUGGAAAAGGAUACAAAUGCGCUAUUCUGAAAAGUGGAACUGUCCCUUUAAUACCCUACAUUUACUCAAGCAAUUAAAGU